CCUACGGGUCGCAGCAGUGGGGAAUAUUGCACAAUGGGCGCAAGCCUGAUGCAGCCAUGCCGCGUGUAUGAAGAAGGCCUUCGGGUUGUAAAGUACUUUCAGCGGGGAGGAAGGUGUUGUGGUUAAUAACCACAACAAUUGACGUUACCCGCAGAAGAAGCACCGGCUAACUCCGUGCCAGCAGCCGCGGUAAUACGGAGGGUGCAAGCGUUAAUCGGAAUUACUGGGCGUAAAGCGCACGCAGGCGGUCUGUCAAGUCGGAUGUGAAAUCCCCGGGCUCAACCUGGGAACUGCAUUCGAAACUGGCAGGCUAGAGUCUUGUAGAGGGGGGUAGAAUUUCAGGUGUAGCGGUGAAAUGCGUAGAGAUCUGAAGGAAUACCAGUGGCGAAGGCGGCCCCCUGGACAAAGACUGACGCUCAGAUGCGAAAGCGUGGGGAGCAAACAGGAUUAGAUACCCCGGUAGUC
rnacentral:rRNA from 1 species